rnacentral:rRNA from 1 species
GAUGAACGCUAGCUACAGGCUUAACACAUGCAAGUCGCGGGGCAGCAUGGGGGUUGCUUGCAAUCCCCGAUGGCGACCGGCGCACGGGUGAGUAACGCGUAUCCAACCUGCCCUUCACCACGGGAUAACCCGGCGAAAGUCGGACUAAUACCGUAUGUUGUCCAUUGACGGCAUCCGAUUUGGACGAAAGGCUUGGCGGUGAGGGAUGGGGAUGCGUCCGAUUAGCCAGACGGCGGGGUAACGGCCCACCGUGGCUACGAUCGGUAGGGGUUCUGAGAGGAAGGUCCCCCACACUGGAACUGAGACCCGGUCCUGACUCCUACGGGAGGCAGCAGUGAGGAAUAUUGGUCAAUGGGCGUAAGCCUGAACCAGCCAAGUAGCGUGCAGGAUGACGGCCCUAUGGGUUGUAAACUGCUUUUAUGCGGGGAUAAAGUGGCCCACGUGUGGGCUUUUGCAGGUACCGCAUGAAUAAGGACCGGCUAAUUCCGUG